CGGCGCCCUGCUGAUGUCCCCUACCUUUGUGAAAAGGGAAAGAAGAUCAGAAAUGGAGAAUGAAAAGAAUAACGAUGAAUAAUUUUGCAACAGAAGACUCUCUAGAGCCUGGUAGAAAGCAGCAGAUUUCCUAGGGCUGCUUUAAAAAUGGGCCCCAUCCUCAGCAGUUACUCCAGAUGAACACAGUGGAGAUACAAAGAGGAGGAAUCUGAAGCACAAAUCCUGCAUGUAGAAGCUUAAUAUGCAGACGCCAGAUCUUCAGCAGCUCUUUGAAAGUAGCCGGAUGCCUGGUGUGAGCUGUGAGAAAGACCUCCCUCCUUUCUGCCAGCACCAAUGUUGACUACCAGCUGAAGGCAACAUCCUACUAAGGUGAGGGAAUGAAGUUUCCACCAGCCUGGCAAAUGCACGCGCCUUUCUGUAUAAUGAUUCCAGUUAGCUUUUCCCAGGAGAAGGACUUUUUAAGAGGGGGUAUAUAAAAGGAGUGAGACAGUACUGGUGUAAACCACAAUUCAGCACAGAGAGUUUGAUUCAUGGCUCAGAUCUGCAAAGAGGUCUAGCCACCUACCUUUUCCCAAAGUGGAUCAACUGAGAGCACCAGCCUGUGGGCUUGGAUCCAGAUUAUUUCUGGACCAGGAAGUCAAGAGAUGGAGAGCGAGCAAACUAGUCCCAGAUUUAUGACAGCAGCUUAAAGUGGUGCGUUUCAGGGGUUGUGGAUUCUACAUUAACUUUGCCUCUUCUCUCAAAGCAACUUCAUCACAGAGACCAAAAAGCCUGUGAUAAUGUUUUGGAUACAUCCUCAUGAGGAAUUAUGUCAGUUCACAAGGGAAAAAAAAAAAAAAAAAAUCAAA